CAAGCCCUCUCUUCCCUCUCCCUCCCUAUGGCGGCCAUCUUGGGCUAGGCGUGAGGCGAUGCCGCGGCCGCCAUGUUGGGCUCGGGAGGAAGAGGGCAGUGCCGGGUUGCGGUGUUUUCCGUGCCCUGGCGUAGGCAGUAUGAGGGGGAAAGUUCCUUCAACUUCAGAGUCUGCAACUCACUUAGCCCCAGGUGGAAUCCCUGAGGGCCUGUCUGCAUCGCGCUGAGAUCUUGUCUGCCGGAGUUACCACCUUCAAAGAGCAGCUUGGUACAAAUUUGUUUCUGGGGAAAAAAGACAUUCGAAUGUGCCUCGGCUUCAUAGGGAAGUUUCAGAAACGCCGUGUGAAGCUUGUGCUGAGCUGGCAGGACAGACGGUGACAGACUGAGGGAACUGGAAGUGAAUGGCAAAAUGUCCAUUAAACAGAAGUGAAAGUAGGAUCCAGUUCCAGGCUUUAAAAUGGAAAUGGCUGAGGUUUUUCUGGGUUAAUGACAACUUCUGUCUCCAAUGCGACUGCCACGAAAGGAAAGAGGUUCCUUUUGCAGGUAGUGGGCUUCUCCUGUGUAAAAUUCCUUCAGAGGAUACUCCAGGGGAGCCAACUGCAAUUAAACCACAAAAGACUGUGUCUCAGUCCUCCUUUGACAUCUGCUUCUUUGACUUCCAUUAUCUUUAAAUUAGCGCUGUCGCUCUGUCAGAAUAGGUCCACCCUUGCCUAAAUCUUUGCCAGUUGAUGGUUUUGUGUAACCCUAAUCUAGUUAGGAAUCUGAGGGUUUUCCCCCUGUUUCCUUGGGGUGUAUUAAAAUGGAUUAUCUUGAAAUGAAGAGUAAAAUAAGCAGAAGUUAAGAAAAAAAGGAAAAAAAAAAAAGUCCAGAAUCUGAAUCUGUAAGCUCCAAAGACCUCACCAUCCUGAACCUCACUGGGAAUAAAAAAUGCCUGUAAAUGUGAAGUCUUGUAUCUCCCAAAUCUUCAGGCUUAAAAAAAAAGCAGAUGAUCAUAUCACUGUCCCUCUGUUUUGCAGUCCAUCAGAGCCUUUAGCCCCAGAUCUUUGCUCAGUCUUUAGUUGGACAAAGUAGAGAAGGAAUGUGAAGUGAGUAAGAAUGCAUCAGGACGCCUGAGUUUAGCUAAGACUGCGUAUAAAAAUAAUAUUGUCUUAGAAAAUGAAAAGCCUGUGCCCUGCAUCUGCUGAGCAAGGGGUUUCACGACCAUGUUUUUUUCCCCGCGUGCUGGCAGGUACAAAA